rnacentral:rRNA from 1 species
UACGAAGGGUGCAAGCGUUACUCGGAAUUACUGGGCGUAAAGCGUGCGUAGGUGGUUCGUUAAGUCUGUCGUGAAAGCCCCGGGCUCAACCUGGGAAUGGCGAUGGAUACUGGCGAGCUAGAGUGCGGUAGAGGAGAGUGGAAUUCCCGGUGUAGCAGUGAAAUGCGUAGAGAUCGGGAGGAACAUCAGUUGCGAAGGCGGCUCUCUGGACCAGCACUGACGCUGAGGCGCGAAAGCGUGGGGAGCAAACAGG